GGGGUUGUGGCUCAGUGGUGGAGCACUCACCUGGCAUGUGUGAGGCACUGGAUUCGAUCCACAGCACCA
rnacentral:tRNA from 1 species